rnacentral:rRNA from 1 species
GUAGGGAAUAUUGGACAAUGGGGGAAACCCUGAUCCAGCGAUGCCGCGUGUGUGAAGAAGGCUCUAGGGUCGUAAAGCACUUUCAGUAGUGAAGAAUGAGGCAGUGGCUAAUAACCACCGCCAGUGACAUUAGCUACAGAAGAAGCACCGGCUAACUCCGUGCCAGCAGCCGCGGUAAUACGGAGGGUGCAAGCGUUAAUCGGAAUUACUGGGCGUAAAGCGCGCGUAGGCGGCAUGGCAAGUUGGAUGUGAAAUCCCCGGGCUUAACCUGGGAACUGCAUUCAAAACUGCCAAGCUAGAGUACAGCAGAGGUCAAUGGAAUUUCCGGUGUAGCAGUGAAAUGCGUAGAUAUCGGAAGGAACAUCAGUGGCGAAGGCGAUUGACUGGGCUGAUACUGACGCUGAGGCGCGAAGGCGUGGGUAGCAAACAGG